UACGAACUGCGCGAACGUUAUUCGGAAUCACUGGGCUUACAGGGUGCGUAGGCGGCCGAUCAGGUCCGAUGUGAAAUCCCACAGCUCAACUGUGGAAUGGCAUUGGAAACCGACCGGCUCGAGUGAGCUAGAGAUGUACGGAACUUCCGGUGGAGCGGUGAAAUGUGUUGAGAUCGGAAGGAACACCAGAGGCGAAAGCGGUACAUUGGGGCUUGUCUGACGCUGAGGCACGAAAGCUAGGGGAGCGAAC
rnacentral:rRNA from 1 species